AAACAUGCAACUAGGUGAUGUCUUGUUCAAUGUUGGCGCGAUGCUUUCUGUUGGCUCACAGAGGAUUUUGCUCCACUGAUUUGACGGCAGGAUAUGUGUAAUGUCACAUAUGAAUGCUCCAAAAAGUUAUCAGCCAGCAAGGUGGCCAGAGUUGGGAGAACUGCUUCUCUUAGAACAGCUUUUACCUUUACCCAUUAAAGUGACUUUUUCCUGACCAGUGCAUGGAUGAAGAACACAUUUUGAGGAAAUGGGAGUGAAAAAAUAUUCAGAAAACAGAAAUCUAUU
rnacentral:lncRNA from 1 species